UACGAAGGGGGCUAGCGUUGCUCGGAAUCACUGGGCGUAAAGCGCACGUAGGCGGACUCUUAAGUCGGUGGUGAAAUCCUGGAGCUCAACUCCAGAACUGCCUUCGAUACUGGAGAGCUUGAGUCCGGGAGAGGUGAGUGGAACUGCGAGUGUAGAGGUGAAAUUCGUAGAUAUUCGCAAGAACACCAGUGGCGAAGGCGGCUCACUGGCCCGGUACUGACGCUGAGGUGCGAAAGCGUGGGGAGCAAACAGG
rnacentral:rRNA from 1 species